GGGAUGAUAGCUCAGUUGGUUAGAGCAGCCGGCUCAUAACCGGCUGGUCCGGGGUUCGAGUCCCUGUCAUCCCA
rnacentral:tRNA from 1 species